rnacentral:rRNA from 1 species
GAUGAACGCUAGCUACAGGCUUAACACAUGCAAGUCGAGGGGCAGCGGGAUUGAAGCUUGCUUCAAUUGCCGGCGACCGGCGCACGGGUGAGUAACGCGUAUCCAACCUUCCGUACACUCAGGGAUAGCCUUUCGAAAGAAAGAUUAAUACCUGAUGGUUAGAGAUGGGCAUGCGUUGUAUUAGCUAGUUGUGGGUAACGGCUCACCAAGGCGACGAUACAUAGGGGGACUGAGAGGUUAACCCCCCANACUGGUACUGAGACACGGACCAGACUCCUACGGGAGGCAGCAGUGAGGAAUAUUGGUCAAUGGACGCAAGUCUGAACCAGCCAUGCCGCGUGCAGGAUGACGGCUCUAUGAGUUGUAAACUGCUUUUGACUAGGGUAAACUCACCUACGUGUAAGGUGACUGAAAGUAUAGUACGAAUAAGGAUCGGCUAACUCCGUG